AUUGAACGCUGGCGGCAGGCCUAACACAUGCAAGUCGAGCGGAUGAAGAGAGCUUGCUCCUGGAUUCAGCGGCGGACGGGUGAGUAAUGCCUAGGAAUCUGCCUGGUAGUGGGGGAUAACGUCCGGAAACGGGCGCUAAUACCGCAUACGUCCUGAGGGAGAAAGUGGGGGAUCUUCGGACCUCACGCUAUCAGAUGAGCCUAGGUCGGAUUAGCUAGUUGGUGGGGUAAAGGCCUACCAAGGCGACGAUCCGUAACUGGUCUGAGAGGAUGAUCAGUCACACUGGAACUGAGGCACGGUCCAGACUCCUACGGGAGGCAGCAGUGGGGAAUAUUGGACAAUGGGCGAAAGCCUGAUCCAGCCAUGCCGCGUGUGUGAAGAAGGUCUUCGGAUUGUAAAGCACUUUAAGUUGGGAGGAAGGGCAGUAAGUUAAUACCUUGCUGUUUUGACGUUACCAACAGAAUAAGCACCGGCUAACUUCGUG
rnacentral:rRNA from 1 species